CCUACGGGAGGCAGCAGUGGGGAAUAUUGGACAAUGGGCGGAAGCCUGAUCCAGCAACGCCGCGUGAGGGAUGACGGCCUUCGGGUUGUAAACCUCUUUCAGUAUUGACGAAGCGCCCGUGUGGGUGGUGACGGUAGGUACAGAAGAAGCACCGGCCAACUACGUGCCAGCAGCCGCGGUAAUACGUAGGGUGCGAGCGUUGUCCGGAAUUAUUGGGCGUAAAGGGCUCGUAGGCGGUUUGUCGCGUCGGGAGUGAAAACACUGGGCUUAACCGAGUGCUUGCUUCCGAUACGGGCAGACUUGAGGCAUUGAGGGGAGAACGGAAUUCCUGGUGUAGCGGUGAAAUGCGCAGAUAUCAGGAGGAACACCGGUGGCGAAGGCGGUUCUCUGGCAAUGUUCUGACGCUGAGGAGCGAAAGUGUGGGGAGCGAACAGGAUUAGAUAACCCUGGUAGUCCACACCGUAAACGUUGGGCGCUAGGUGUGGGGCCUAUCAUGGUCGUGCGCNGCUACGCAUAGUACGCCCGCCGUCGGAGGUACGGCCGCGAGGACGAAACGUACGAAAGAAAGUAGUACGGACGUUGUAGAGUUGCCGAACGGACGACGACGAGGGAGGAGG
rnacentral:rRNA from 1 species